UGAAGUGGACCUUGCUGCCUGCCUAACAGACGAACUGCACCUGCCUGGGAGCCCUACCUCUUCAGUAUCUCCCCCAAACACGCCCAGACACCUAAGCAGAUAGGAAUGUCAAGAUCUUCAGUGAAAACUGUUUUGGUGAUGGAAGACAGCCACCAGGAAACCCUGCCGAAAGAAUGGGUCAGAUCAAUAAUCUGAGCGGUCCCAGUCCUCCUCCAAUGGCUGAUGGAUGAGGAAGUCAAAUCUGCUGCUUCAAGGAUCAAAGUCUAUGUCCACUGAGGGUGUUUGGAGAAUGUGUUGCAAUCUCUGAAGGCAAUCCCAAGAGAGGCAUUCCAGAGAGGUUUUCAGCCAGGGGUGGCCCAGCAGGAAGUCACUCUGAAAACUCAGGUUUACACAACAUCUACUUGUACAAUCAAGCACACACUCUCAGGCUGCAUGAAGUACUGUCGCAGACAGGACUGCAAACCCUCUCAGGGGUGAGAAUGGCUGGCAGCAGUGCUCAGGAGAGGGAUGUGGCAGGAGUCAGCUCCUAGGAAGUGCCAGCGCCCACGCACCUGUGAGCUCCUGGAGUCUGACUCACCGGGUAAGUGAAUUCUUGUAAUUUCCACAAACAGCCCUGGGGUUCCCCUAAACCAGAC